rnacentral:piRNA from 1 species
UGGUGACACAAGAUCAUAUUUCUCUACAU